GUUGUAUGGUUAAGUGACUAAGCGUACACGGUGGAUGCCUGGGCAGUCAGAGGCGAUGAAGGACGUACUAACUUGCGAUAAGCGCAGAUAAGGCAGUAAGAGCCGUUUGAGUCUGCGAUUUCCGAAUGGGGAAACCCAACUGCAUAAGCAGUUACUGUUAACUGAAUACAUAGGUUAACAGAGCAAACCGGGGGAACUGAAACAUCUAAGUACCCCGAGGAGAAGAAAUCAACCGAGAUUCCGGUAGUAGCGGCGAGCGAACCUGGAUUAGCCCUUAAGCACUCGGUGAAGUAGGUGAACAAGCUGGAAAGCUUGGCGAUACAGGGUGAUAGCCCCGUAACCGACGCUUCAUCGAGCGUGAAAUCGAGUAGGGCGGGACACGUGAUAUCCUGUCUGAAUAUGGGGGGACCAUCCUCCAAGGCUAAAUACUCCUGACUGACCGAUAGUGAACCAGUACCGUGAGGGAAAGGCGAAAAGAACCCCUGUGAGGGGAGUGAAAUAGAACCUGAAACCGUGUACGUACAAGCAGUAGGAGCACCUUCGUGGUGUGACUGCGUACCUUUUGUAUAAUGGGUCAGCGACUUAUAUUCAGUGGCAAGGUUAACCGUAUAGGGGAGCCGUAGCGAAAGCGAGUCUUAACUGGGCGCUCAGUCUCUGGAUAUAGACCCGAAACCGGGUGAUCUAGCCAUGGGCAGGUUGAAGGUUGAGUAACAUCAACUGGAGGACCGAACCGACUAAUGUUGAAAAAUUAGCGGAUGACUUGUGGCUAGGGGUGAAAGGCCAAUCAAACUCGGAGAUAGCUGGUUCUCCCCGAAAGCUAUUUAGGUAGCGCCUCGGACGAAUACUACUGGGGGUAGAGCACUGUUAAGGCUAGGGGGUCAUCCCGACUUACCAACCCUUUGCAAACUCCGAAUACCAGUAAGUACUAUCCGGGAGACACACGGCGGGUGCUAACGUCCGUCGUGGAGAGGGAAACAACCCAGACCGCCAGCUAAGGUCCCAAAGUAUUGCUAAGUGGGAAACGAUGUGGGAAGGCUCAGACAGCUAGGAUGUUGGCUUAGAAGCAGCCAUCAUUUAAAGAAAGCGUAAUAGCUCACUAGUCGAGUCGGCCUGCGCGGAAGAUGUAACGGGGCUAAGCAAUACACCGAAGCUGCGGCAAUAUCUUUUAGAUAUUGGGUAGGGGAGCGUUCUGUAAGCCGUUGAAGGUGAAUCGUAAGGUUUGCUGGAGGUAUCAGAAGUGCGAAUGCUGACAUGAGUAACGACAAAGGGGGUGAAAAACCUCCUCGCCGGAAGACCAAGGGUUCCUGUCCAACGUUAAUCGGGGCAGGGUGAGUCGACCCCUAAGGUGAGGCCGAAAGGCGUAAUCGAUGGGAAACGGGUUAAUAUUCCCGUACUUCUGACUAUUGCGAUGGGGGGACGGAGAAGGCUAGGUGGGCCAGGCGACGGUUGUCCUGGUUCAAGUGCGUAGGCUUGAGAGUUAGGUAAAUCCGGCUCUCUCUAAGGCUGAGACACGACGUCGAGCUGCUACGGCAGUGAAGUCAUUGAUGCCAUGCUUCCAGGAAAAGCCUCUAAGCUUCAGAUAGUUAGGAAUCGUACCCCAAACCGACACAGGUGGUCGGGUAGAGAAUACCAAGGCGCUUGAGAGAACUCGGGUGAAGGAACUAGGCAAAAUGGUACCGUAACUUCGGGAGAAGGUACGCUCUUGAUGGUGAAGUCCCUCGCGGAUGGAGCUGACGAGAGUCGCAGAUACCAGGUGGCUGCAACUGUUUAUUAAAAACACAGCACUGUGCAAAAUCGCAAGAUGACGUAUACGGUGUGACGCCUGCCCGGUGCCGGAAGGUUAAUUGAUGGGGUUAGCGCAAGCGAAGCUCUUGAUCGAAGCCCCGGUAAACGGCGGCCGUAACUAUAACGGUCCUAAGGUAGCGAAAUUCCUUGUCGGGUAAGUUCCGACCUGCACGAAUGGCGUAAUGAUGGCCACGCUGUCUCCACCCG
rnacentral:rRNA from 1 species